GCCAGACUCCUACGGGAGGCAGCAGUGAGGAAUAUUGGUCAAUGGGCGAGAGCCUGAACCAGCCAAGUCGCGUGAGGGAUGACGGCCCUACGGGUUGUAAACUUCUUUUGUCAGGGAGCAAUUGGGUCCACGCGUGGGCUUAGCGAGAGUACCUGAAGAAAAAGCAUCGGCUAACUCCGUGCCAGCAGCCGCGGUAAUACGGAGGAUGCGAGCGUUAUCCGGAUUUAUUGGGUUUAAAGGGUGCGCAGGCGGAAGCGAAAGUGGGGGGAAAAAUGGGGGGGCCCCCCCCCCCCCCGCCGUUGAAACUGCGUUUCUUGAGUGGGCGAGAAGUACGCGGAAUGCGUGGUGUAGCGGUGAAAUGCAUAGAUAUCACGCAGAACUCCGAUUGCGAAGGCAGCGUACCGGCGCCCAACUGACGCUCAUGCACGAAAGCGUGGGUAUCGAACAGGAUUAGAUACCCCAGUAGC
rnacentral:rRNA from 1 species